GGGGGGGGGGGCACCUAAACUGGACCAAGGGAAGCCAAUUCCCCAUAGUUUCAGGCCAGUUCGAGAGUAGUUUUGAUUUUGGUUCCAUUAAGAUCCAGGUUGAGGCAAUCCAAUGAUUGAAACAAUUUUUUGAAUUCUUUUGAAGAAAAAAUACAAGGUUCUGAUGGACCGGACCAGUGUUUCUGGUUCAAGUCCAAUUUGGGUUGAAUGGGGGAGGAAUCGUAACCAACUUGCACCCACCUACACUGGCCCCCUCCCUCCCCUCCUACCGAAUCCAGGCCGAUUUGAUCCUGUGGAACCACUGGCCAGUUCAGGUCCCUUGCUGGUUUCAAGCCCAAACCAGCCUGUGGCCACCCCUAUAUGAACUCUGAUGCUUCAUAGUUCAGCUAAACUAUACUCAAGUCCGCAUGAGUGCAAGGCCAUCUCCAGCAGUUGCAUAAAAAAUUAAUUUGAAGCCAACAGAAACCAACCUUAUUCGCCCACAUCAGGCCAC
rnacentral:misc_RNA from 1 species